UACGAAGGGUGCAAGCGUUAAUCGGAAUUACUGGGCGUAAAGCGUGCGUAGGCGGCCUGGCAAGUGGAAGGUGAAAUCCCUCGGCUUAACCGAGGAACUGCCCUCCAAACUGCUUGGCUUGAGUCCGGGAGAGGUGAGUGGAAUUCCCAGUGUAGCGGUGAAAUGCGUAGAUAUUGGGAGGAACACCAGUGGCGAAGGCGGCUCACUGGACCGGAACUGACGCUGAGGCGCGAAAGCGUGGGGAGCAAACGGG
rnacentral:rRNA from 1 species